rnacentral:rRNA from 1 species
UAUGUAGGGGGCUAGCGUUGUCCGGAAUCAUUGGGCGUAAAGAGCGUGUAGGCGGUCCGGUAAGUCCGCUGUGAAAGUCGGGGGCUCAACCCUCGAAUGCCGGUGGAUACUGUCGGGCUAGAGUGCGGAAGAGGCGAGUGGAAUUCCUGGUGUAGCGGUGAAAUGCGCAGAUAUCAGGAGGAACACCUAUUGCGAAGGCAGCUCGCUGGGACGUAACUGACGCUGAGACGCGAAAGCGUGGGGAGCAAAUAGG